UUUAGGAAAUCUACACAUCCCCUCUUUCGAUAUACUUCUCUCUUGGGACAAGGCCCGGGGCUGAGGUGGGCUGGAGGAGGGGCGGCUGAGACAGCGGACCCGCCGUAAAUGCUGCCUGUUUCCCGAUGUCUCCGCGCCGAAGUGCCCUCCCGCAGGAGCCAGGCCUCCCACGCGUCGAGCACUUCAGGAACCCGCGACCUGGGAGACCAGCCCGCGGCGCCGCCGGCUCCUGUUCCGCGCCGGUCCUCUCGUCAGGCUGCGCCCGCGCUCAGGCCGGGGUCAGCACGGCACAGGGUCCCACGCACGUCCUGCCGCCCAGGACUACGCCUCCCGGCGGUCCCCGCGCCGGAAGCGGCUCCUGCCCCGGCCUGCCUCCGGCUGCCGAUUGGCUGCUGCUGGCCGCCGGCCGCGCGGGGGCUCUCUGCCCUGAGGGGGCGUCGGUCCCUCAGCCGAGACCUGGCGUGCCGGUUGGGGUUGAAGUGGGGGAUGGUGGCGGCUGGCGGUGAGUAGGCGUCGGUCUACGAGCUGGUGUGUUUGUGCUUCUGUGUGAGGCGGUGGAUACGGAAACGGACUGAGCGUUGGGACAGGUCGUGGCCGCGCGGCGUCCCAGCGUGAGGAAGGUGGGUGUGACUUGCCGGUGUGACUGCUCACCUUGGCGAACGGUUCCGUGCCUACGCUGUGUGGUCCUGAGGGCCGGUGGAGGUCGAAGCUGCGUGUCUCCUGUGUUAAAGGGCCUAAGUGUUCUUCAGAGUGGUUCUUCCAACUCCUGAGAGAUAGAGCAGGAACACAAGCAGGGGGAGUGGGAGAGG